UGUUUCGUCUGCAAUUGAUGG
rnacentral:piRNA from 1 species